AUAUUCACGACGGAGCAGUAUCCUUAGUCGAAGCUGCCAUCUCCAAGGAAGGGCCUAAAAAUCCUUUAAAGGGCAUAUCUAUGAAGCCUCUUGUGUCUGCUUGGAACGCCCAGUUCCGGGUGGGUGCUGGAGGGAGGUCUUAGCCGGAGCCCCGGCUUAGCCUGCAUCUUAUUGGGCGGCCCCGAAUGGCAUUGGGACCCCGACCCAGUGGGUGUGGAGACCCGACUCUGUGGAAGGACGUACUCCCUUAGCGGUAAUCGAUCCUUUUACGGACCGGGGAUGAACCUGCAAUGCGGUGCGUUACAAAGGCUUUUUUUUACCGAGUGCUGUGUGCAGCGUAGCCUGCCUUGAGUGGGAUCUGCGGAUGGGAGAGCCACGCGCCCGUUUCCCCGGCCAGGGAACCGGGCGAUAUCCCCCUGAAAUAUUUCCUGCAAAAGAGGCUAAAGAGAUGGCUCGUUUCGCCGUGGAAAACACCUAGGCUGUCGUCCGUAUAACCGGACGGGCACGGAAAGGAUUGCAGUGCGGACUAAGUGGCAAUCGGGCAACGCCGUCGGCAACGCGGCGGAUCAGGCUUUAAAGGGAAACCGCCUCAUCGGCAACGAGGGGUAGCCUGAGGGGAAAUCCAGCCCGACCUAAGCCGUAAGAUUUACUUUCCGUGCCUCCUCUUUUUUUAU
rnacentral:sRNA from 1 species